CUGGAAGAGAGCUUAGAGACGAUCUGGUUUAAAUUCAUUUUUACUGAUGACAAGAACUGACUUGCUUUGUUUAUUCCCACAGGGUUUGGAGGAAGAUCCAGUGAGAUAAUGAUGACGAGAGGCACCACUGAGUUCGCUUGCUCUGCGAUCUUCUGAAAAUGGACGAAAGAAAGGCUUUAUAAUUCAAAAGAUCUGUGGUCCCAGGGACACGAAUUCCUUGUGUGGGCGUCUAGGACACAGCCACAAUAGACACUGCACAGGAAGACCUGAAGCUGGCAGAGCCUUAUUCCAGAGUCCAGCAAAGCAAGUCCUACCGCCUUUUCCAGGAAUGUGGAAUGCCUCCAGUCACAAACUCGCUAAUUUGUGACACUGGGCAGGCACUUCUGGAAUGGGGUUUUUCCAGCACUAACAAGCAACGAAGGCUGAGAUGACAAAGGGUCCCUGAUUGGCAUCAUGCUUCAGGGAGGAAUGGGCUUAGAACACACGUCCACUUCAAUCUGCUUUCAGGUAAACCUAGAUCUGGCAGGGGUAAAGUGGUGUGCAAAACAACACAGACUGGCUGCCCCCCUCCUCCACCCUAGGUUUUGUUUUCAACAAUUAUUAGAUUUACUUUUCAGGGAAAAGCAAAGAGUGGGAGGCAGAGGAGAUAAAGGCCAAUGGGCCACGAAUCCUCUGAAACUGGGCAAAUACAGACCGGUCAUCAGUGGUUUCUUGGCUAUCAC
rnacentral:lncRNA from 1 species